rnacentral:lncRNA from 1 species
UUACAUUUUUAUUAUACAUUCGAAUGAAUGUAUGAUGGAGUAUUAUACAUCAUAAAUAUAGCACCAUUUUGUGUAAACAACAAAGCCAAAAAUUAAAUUCAACAAUAAAACUCCUUUAACAAAUGCUAUUACACCACAACAACAUCAUUUACAACACCUACAACUAAAAAAUAAUAAUUUAUUCCAUACCUUUGUUUGUCAGAUCGUUUAGUAAAGGUGUUGAAGUCAUUCGAUAUCGCAUAUUUCGCCAUAACCGAUACCAAAGUUUGCUUAUCCUUAUAAAGCUGGUUAACUUUUAUUUCAGUGUUCUUGCAAUUAGUAAUGAAAUUAUUGACUUCAAAUUCUGGAACGUAUAAUGAAUACUGAUUAUGCGUUUCAACAACAGUUAAAGCAACCGAAUCAGAUUCACUACCUUCAAUACACAUUACAGCCCCAGUUUCGCUAUCAAACUCGAUAUCCUUAAUCGAUUUGUUGAAAGUUGUUAUACAUAGCAAAAAAAUUUUAAGCCCAGAACAUUGUUUCUUCAACUCAAUAUAAACCUUCACUCCAUUAUCAUUUCUUAUGAUAAUUGGAGAAGAGUUACCAUCAACAAUGCAUUUUACUUUAAUUUUUUUUUAACAUCAUCAAUACCCAAUUUCAUCGCGAUUGUCGCAACCAAUUUCAGAAAGUUAAUAUUUUCUGAAACAACAAUGACAUCACUUUUGUAUGCUUUAAAACUUAUUUCCGUCUCCCAUACACCGGAAUGACGCAACAAUAUUGGGAUGUUCAUCUUUUUUCUCAUAAGAAAUUAUGAAUAAAUAUUUUUUUUCCAGAAUCGCAAAUCAGAAAAGAAGACAAUUAGAGGUAAUGUUUAAGAGUUUUUUU